rnacentral:rRNA from 1 species
GAUGAACGCUGGCGGCGUGCUUAACACAUGCAAGUCGAACGGAAAGGCCCAAGCUUGCUUGGGUACUCGAGUGGCGAACGGGUGAGUAACACGUGGGUGAUCUGCCCUGCACUUCGGGAUAAGCCUGGGAAACUGGGUCUAAUACCGGAUAGGACCACAUUUUGGAUGGUGUGGUGGAAAGUUUUUCGGUGUGGGAUGAGCUCGCGGCCUAUCAGCUUGUUGGUGGGGUAAUGGCCUACCAAGGCGUCGACGGGUAGCCGGCCUGAGAGGGUGUACGGCCACAGUGGGACUGAGAUACGGCCCAGACUCCGACGGGAGGCAGCAGUGGGGAAUAUUGCACAAUGGGCGCAAGCCUGAUGCAGCGACGCCGCGUGGGGGAUGACGGCCUUCGGGUUGUAAACUCCUUUCGCUAGGGACGAAGCGUUAUGUGACGGUACCUGGAGAAGAAGCACCGGCUAACUACGUG